GACGAACGCUGGCGGCGUGCUUAACACAUGCAAGUCGAACGGAAAGGCCUGCUUUCCCUUGUGGAUUGCGGGUACUCGCGUGGCGAACGGGUGAGUAACACGUGAGUGAUCUGCCCCCAACUUGGGUAUAAGCCUGGGAAACUGGGUCUAAUUCCCGAUAGGACUGCAGGGUGGUGCCUGUGGUGGAAAACGAUUUUCUAGUGGUUGGGGAUGAGCUCGCGGCCUAUCAGCUUGUUGGUGGGGGAAUGGCCUACCAAGGCGGCGACGGGGAGCCGGCCUGGGGGGGUGGACGGCCGGAUUGGGGGGGAGGCGCGGCCGGGACUCGGGCGGGGGGCGGUGGGGGGGGGUGGAGGGCGAUGGGCGGAGGCCUGAUGGAACGAGCCCGCGUGGGGGAUGAGGGGCUGCGGGUUGGAAAGCGCUGGCGCGUGGGACGAAGCGUGAGUGAAGGUAAUGGGUAAAGAAGCACGGGCUAACUACGUG
rnacentral:rRNA from 1 species